rnacentral:lncRNA from 1 species
AAAGAAAAAAGUCCACAAAAUUUACUAAAUAUCUAUAAUGAAAGAAGUCCACAAAAUUUACUAAAUAUCUAUAAAGAAAAAAGACCACUAAAUUUACUAAAUAUCUCUUAAAAAAAAAGUCCACAAAAUUUACUUAAUAUCUCUAAAAGAAAAAAGUCCACAAAAUUUACUAAAUAUCUUUGAAAGAAGUCGCAAAAUUUACUAAAAAAAGAAAGUCCACAAAUUUACUAAAUAUCUAUACAGAAAAAAGUCCACAAAAUUUACUAAAUAUCUUUAAAAGAAAAAAGUCCACAAAAUUUACUAAAUAUCUAUAAUGAAAGAAGUCCACAAAAUUUACUAAAAAAAGUCCACAAAAUUAACUAAAUAUCUAUAAAGAAAAAAGUCCACAAAAUUUACUAAAUAUCUAUAAUGAAAGAAGUCCACAAAAUUUACUAAAAAAAGAAAGUCCACAAAAUUUACUAAAUAUCUAUAAAGAAAAAAGUCCACAAAAUUGACUAAAUAUCUAUAAUGAAAGAAGUCCACAAAAUUUACUAAAUAUCUAUAAAGAAAAUAGUCCACAAAAUUUACCAAAUAUCUUCAAAGAAAAAAGUCCUAAAGAUACUUAAUAUCUAUAAAGAAUAAAGUCUACAAAAUUUACUAAAUAUCUUUAAAGAAAAAAGUCUACAAAAUUUACUAAAUAUCUUUUAAAAAAAAAAUAAAGCAAAAUAAUUUAAAAAAAUUUCUCUUGCAAUUAAAUAAGUUUAAAAUUUUUAAUUCAGCAAAAGAUUUGGGCUUACAACAACUUGAUGUGAAUGAUAUUGCAUUAUUAUAGUGUCUGAGUACAACAUUAUUACAUAACUUGCUGGGUUCAAAUUUCAUUUUUUUACAAAAAUAUAAAGUAUAUCCAAAGUUAACACUGGCAAGUCGAGUAUAACAAUGUAUCUAACACUGCACAAUCUGCAUAAACCUGCAUACCUGCAUAGGAUAAUUAGCAUUGCAUAUAUAAAUUAACAUGUAAAGCUUAUGCUGGCUUGCUGAUGUUUUCUUUCAUUGGUCUAUUUAAUUAACCCCUAGCCAAAUAUAGCAACAUCUAUUUAAAAUUGACCUGGGACUUGGAUUUUGGGCAGGUAGGGAGGAAUAAGGGAAAUACCUUGGCCUGGGAUUUUAGGGCUUAAAGAAAGGGGAGGGGAAACCUUGGGACUCUGGUGAAGUGGGGAUAUAAAAGGAGAGGGGAAUCCCAGGGCCUGGUGUAUUUGGGGAGAUAAAAGAGGGAGAAGGUUACAUCCACAGUCUGGUGAACUGGGGGAGAUAAAAGAGGGAAUGGGGAAAUAGUUGCUGUUCAUUGAAUGAAGUAAGUUAUGUGUUAAUGUUGUAUUCACAUUGUUGUGAUGAUUGUAUUGUUGCUUUGAAGUUUGUGGAGCACAAAUACCCCAGUA